rnacentral:rRNA from 1 species
GACGAACGCUGGCGGCGUGCCUAAUACAUGCAAGUAGGACGCAGUUGCGAACGGGUGAGUAACGCGUAGGUAACUACCUAUUAGAGGGGGAUAACUAUUGGAAACGAUAGCUAAUACCGCAUACUAGUAGAUGGACCUGCGUUGUAUUUGCUAGUAGGUAGGGUAAUGGCCUACCUAGGCACCGCUACAUAGCCGAGCUGCGAGGGUGAUCGGCCAUACUGGGAAUGAGACACGGCCCAUAAUCCGACGGGAUGCAGCAGUAGGGAAUCUUCGGCAAGUGGGGGAACCCUGACCGAGCAACGCCGCGUGAGUGAAGAAGGUGUUCGGAGCGGAAAGCUCUGUUGUUAAGGAAGCGGUACUUAACCAGAAAGGGACGGCUAACUACGUGCCAGCAGCCGCGGUAAUAC